CGUCAUGCCUAUACAUGCAGUCGAGCGGUAGCACAGAGAGCUUGCUCUCGGGUGACGAGCGGCGGACGGGUGAGUAAUGUCUGGGAAACUGCCUGAUGGAGGGGGAUAACUACUGGAAACGGUAGCUAAUACCGCAUAAUGUCGCAAGACAAAGUGGGGGACCUUCGGGCCUCAUGCCAUCAGAUGUGCCCAGAUGGGAUUAGCUAGUAGGUGGGGUAACGGCUCACCUAGGCGACGAUCCCUAGCUGGUCUGAGAGGAUGACCAGCCACACUGGAACUGAGACACGGUCCAGACUCCUACGGGAGGCAGCAGUGGGGAAUAUUGCACAAUGGGCGAACCGCCUUUGGAAAUGCUUGACAUUGGCCAGCGUGUUGAAGAGCCAUCAUGCGAAGUCGAUGUAAGCACUUUCAGCGAUGAGGCACUUUCAGCGGAUGAAGCGUUAAGUAAUACCUUGCGAUUGACGUUACCCGCCAGAAUGAAGCACCGCUAAUCCGUGCCCAGACAGCCCGCGUAUACGAGGGUGCAAGCGUUAAUUCGGAAUUUACUUGGGCGUAAUAGCGCACGCCAGGCGGUCCUGUCAUAGUUCGGAUUGUGAAAUUCCCCGGGCUCAACCUGGGAAACUGCAUCUCGAUACUGGGCAGGCUUAGAAGUUCUUGUAGAGGGGGGUAGAAUUUCCAGGUGUAGCCGUGAAAUGCGUUGAGAUCUGGAGGAAAUUCCGGUGGCGAAGGCGGCCCCCCUGGAUCAUAUAGACUGACGCUUCAGGUUGCGAAGCGUGGGGAGCAAAACAGGGAUUAGAUACCCUGGUAGUCCACGCCGUAAACGAUGUCGAUUUGGAGGUUGUGCCCUUGAGGGCGUGGCUUCCGGAGUAACGCUUAAAUCGACCGCCUGGGGAGGUACGGCCGCAAGGUUAAAACUUCAAAUGAAUUGACGGGGGCCCGCACAAGCGGUGGAGCAUGUGGUUUAAUUCGAUGCAACGCGAAAGAACUUUACCUGGUCUUGACAUCCACAGAACUUCCAGAGAAUGUUGUGCCUUUCGGGAACUGUGAGACAGGUGCUGCAUGGCUGUCGUCAGCUCGUGUUGUGAAAUGUUGGGAUUAAGUCCCGCAACGAGCGCAACCCUUAUUCUUUGCUUGCCAGCCGGUCAGCCGGGAACUUCAAAGGAAACUGCCAGUGAUAAACUGUAGGAAGGGGGAUGACGUCAAGUUCAUUCAUGCCUUUACGACCAGGCUACACGUGCUUACAUGGCAUAUUAUCAAAGAGAAGUCGCUACUCUCGCGAGAGAAACAAGCGACACUCCUCAUAAAGUAUGUGUAGUCCGGAUGGAGUCUCAACUCGACUCCAUGAAGUCGGUUUCGCUGUAAUCGUAAUCAGAAUAUACGGUGAAUACGUUUCCGGGCCUUUUCACACCGCCCGUCACACCAUGGGAGUGGGUUGCAAAAGAAGUAGGUAGCUUAACCUUCGGGAGGGCGCUUACCACUUUGUGAUUCAUGACUGGGUAAAUUCGUAAAA
rnacentral:rRNA from 1 species